rnacentral:rRNA from 1 species
GACGAACGCUGGCGGCGUGCUUAACACAUGCAAGUCGAACGGAAAGGCCCUGCUUUUGUGGGGUGCUCGAGUGGCGAACGGGUGAGUAACACGUGAGUAACCUGCCCUUGACUUUGGGAUAACUUCAGGAAACUGGGGCUAAUACCGGAUAGGAGCUCCUGCUGCAUGGUGGGGGUUGGAAAGUUUCGGCGGUUGGGGAUGGACUCGCGGCUUAUCAGCUUGUUGGUGGGGUAGUGGUUUACCAAGGCUUGGCCGGGUAGCCGGCCUGAGAGGGUGACCGGCCACAUUGGGACUGAGAUACGGCCCAGACUCCUACGGGAGGCAGCAGUGGGGAAUAUUGCACAAUGGGCGGAAGCCUGAUGCAGCAACGCCGCGUGCGGGAUGACGGCCUUCGGGUUGUAAACCGCUUUCGCCUGUGACGAAGCGUGAGUGACGGUAAUGGGUAAAGAAGCACCGGCUAACUACGUG